GACGAACGCUGGCGGCGUGCUUAACACAUGCAAGUCGAACGGAAAGGCCCUGCUUUUGGGGGGUGCUCGAGUGGCGAACGGGUGAGUAACACGUGAGUAACCUGCCCUUGACUUUGGGAUAACUUCAGGAAACUGGGGCUAAUACCGGAUAGGAGCUCCUGCUGCAUGGUGGGGGUUGGAAAGUUUCGGCGGUUGGGGAUGGACUCGCGGCUUAUCAGCUUGUUGGUGGGGUAGUGGCUUACCAAGGCUUUGACGGGUAGCCGGCCUGAGAGGGUGACCGGCCACAUUGGGCCUGAGAUACGGCCCAGACUCCUACGGGAGGCAGCAGUGGGGAAUAUUGCACAAUGGUCGGAAGCCUGAUGCAGCAACGCCGCGUGCGGGAUGACGGCCUUCGGGUUGUAAACCGCUUUCGCCUGUGACGAAGCGUGAGUGACGGUAAUGGGUAAAGAAGCACCGGCUAACUACGUG
rnacentral:rRNA from 1 species